UACGUAGGGUGCAAGCGUUGUCCGGAAUUAUUGGGCGUAAAGAGCUUGUAGGCGGUUUGUCGCGUCUGCUGUGAAAUUUCGGGGCUCAACCCCGAACUUGCAGUGGGUACGGGCAGACUAGAGUGUGGUAGGGGAGACUGGAAUUCCUGGUGUAGCGGUGAAAUGCGCAGAUAUCAGGAGGAACACCGGUGGCGAAGGCGGGUCUCUGGGCCAUUACUGACACUGAGAAGCGAAAGCAUGGGGAGCGAACAGG
rnacentral:rRNA from 1 species